ensembl:lncRNA
AGGUGGUGGAGGCCAGCAGGUGGAUGAGGGAAGGGGAGGCAAGAGGAGAGACCCGAGGCGGUCGCCGGUCUGAGUGUCAGGUGAACUGAACUUCAGGCCUCCUCCUGCUUCACUGCCAUAAAUCCAUCACCAGAGGGCUCCACUGACCUGCCUGUUGACAUCAGAGCACACCCCUGUGUCAUGUGACCUGGCUGGAGUUGCAAAGCUGGACUCAGACCUGGCCCAGACAGAGAAACAUCUUAUGUUGGAUGCUCUUGCUAUGUGAGGAAAUGUGCAGCAUGUAUCAGUAAUUGAACAACACAAUGUGACAGAUGAUUGUGCAGGUGUCUGCUGUGAAAAUUGUUUUUUUAAUUUCUGUCAGAGAUGUGCUGUAAAAGAAACCAGAAGAAAAACACAGGAAAAAAACACAAGACUAUUAUACUUUGUUUAUUCGUGACUAUUGAAAAUAAUAUUGAAGGAAAAUAACUUUUUCUUUUUAAAAUACAAGCUGACAAAGGACAUAUUUAGUUGUUUCACAUUAUCACAUUUGGUCUCUAUUAUGCAUUUCAGAGUCACUGGGUGAGAGGUGAGGUUGGGACAGGUCACUGGUCUCUCACUGAUUAAAAUACUUUUUUGUUCUCAUAGUUAUCACUGGGGUUUUGAAAAAAAGAGA